rnacentral:rRNA from 1 species
GAUGAACGCUGGCGGCGUGCCUAAUACAUGCAAGUCGAGCGAACGGACGAGAAGCUUGCUUCUCUGAUGUUAGCGGCGGACGGGUGAGUAACACGUGGAUAACCUACCUAUAAGACUGGGAUAACUUCGGGAAACCGGAGCUAAUACCGGAUGAUAUUUUGAGCCGCAUGGUUCAAAAGUGAAAGACGGUCUUGCUGUCACUUAUAGAUGGAUCCGCGCUGCAUUAGCUAGUUGGUAAGGUAAUGGCUUACCAAGGCAACGAUGCAUAGCCGACCUGAGAGGGUGAUCGGCCACACUGGAACUGAAACACGGUCCAGACUCCUACGGGAGGCAGCAGUAGGCAAUCUUCCGCAGUGGGCGAAAGCCUGACGGAGCAACGCCGCGUGAGUGAUGAAGGUCUUCGGAUCGUAAAACUCUGUUAUUAGGGAAGAACAUAUGUGUAAGUAACUGUGCACAUCUUGACGGUACCUAAUCAGAAAGCCACGGCUAACUACGUG